AAGUCAAAUUUGGAGAAAUAGUUAUAAUUUUUUGUGAGAGAAGGUCUCCACCAUCUCUCUACUUUCCUCCUUUGUGUAUGGAUAAUACUCUGCAAAAGAGAUCCACUCCACUGGAACCACCUGAUAAGGGAGAAUGCCAAAUGGCUAUCGACCAACGACCCACCCCAUCCUAUAGUGACAAAGUACGAGGCAACAUUAUUAGCCCCACACAAUCCCCCCCCUUUAUUCCCAACUGAAGUUUCAACAAGCAGAAGGGAAGAUCACAUUUCCCUCUCCGAAGAAGAUAAAUUACGCACCGUGGAGGUUCUCAGUUAUUAUAAAGGCAGUAGGGAAGAAAUUUAAUCACCACUACCUAAAGACUAAGCUCAUAGAGCUAUGGAAGAUCCAGGAGGCCUUUGCUCUCAUCUAUCUUGGCAUGGAGUUUUUCACAGUUAAACUUAACAACGAGGAAUGCCAGAGGAGAGCAUUGCAAUAGGGUCCAUGGUUCAUAGCAGAGGCAUACCUAUCAGUGCGAACCUGGGAACCAAAAUUCGUACCGACUGAAAAUCAGAUCCAAACUAUGGCGAUCUUGGUUCGUUUGCCACAACUGCCCACUGAAUUCUAUGAUGUGGGGAUCCUAGAACGAGUGGGGAACAAGCUGGGGAACCUUGUGAAGAUUGACGCAUGCACUUCCUCAACCUUGAGGGGUCGAUAUGCGCGUAUUUGCAUUCAAAUUCCAAUGGAAACAACGCUAAAGAAAGUGAUAACUAUUGAAGGGCACCGUCAAACUAUCCACUACGAAGGCGACGACUUCCUUUGCAAACUAUGCGGUCACCUAAGGCAUACAAAAUCUAGUUGCAAAAGAAAACCACCGUCACCAACAUCAACUCAGAUGGGGGCCAUAUCUUAGGACGCGUCACCAGCGAUAACAACGGAGCAAGAAUGCACACAGUUGUCUUCAAGAAAGGUAAAGGGAGGAAAAGGAACUCAACAGUCCCUAAUUAUGGCAAGAACGCUAUAGGUACAUGUUAAGGGGAUUAGGGAAUCCAGUUGUAUGACAUAGCUUUAGAGAACAAAACAUAGUGGCGGAUGCGGUGACUAAGAUGGGAUCCAACUCAGAUGUUUUUGGAAGUACUACAAUCUUGGAAGUUCCUCCAGUGUGUGCUCGCCAUGCUCUUUGGGCAGACGUGAUAGGAACUACUUUUGAAAGAAGCAUAAGAUGUAAUAGUGGAAGUCCAUCAAAACUCGUCUACCAGUUUUUUGAUAUCAACCCUGGUUGAUAUCCAGAGGUGUAUGUAAAUUAUAAGCAUCCACUGUUUCCUAGUUAAACCAAUCAUCUUCUUUAUCAAAAAGAAAAAAGAUAAUUACUUCAAUUUCAACAACCAGGAUAACAGUGUAGACACAUAAUUUUUUCUCUCCCCGAAAGAAGUUUUACCAUUUUACCACCACCUUACCAUGUAUCCUAUCCCUUGUGAUAAUCUCUUCACAAAAAUACGAAAAUAACAAUCCCUAACAAAAUCCCUAACAAAUCUUAUCUUGUUUUAACAUCCCAAAAACCUCUCUAAUUAAAAGAUGACACAUCACCACCCAAUACCCUCCUACUCUACCUACCCACGUGACCCACACCACCUCACCUAUUCUUUCUUUACACUUUUAUUCCUUUCUACAAAGAGAAGAGAAAGAGAUAAUUACAAAAAAGGAGGCCCCCACAAAUGACAUAUACAUACACACUUUCACAAUUCGUCAAAGGGGGGAAUUCAUCAUGUACACACUUACGGAUACAGUGAAAAGGGGGCAACAAAAACACACUAUUUUUUCUUUCUUCUCAAGCAGCACACACCACCGGCCUUCUUCGUAAUUUCACACACAGAGAGGACCCUCACGAAAUUCCAUAAACACGCACAUACAAAGCACACAGUGAAAACAACAAGAAAAAGGAGUAAAAUGGAGUGAGAAUCGAAGGAGAAAAUAGAAUCUGGGUUUGGAUUACUAUUCUGGCGUCAUAAUCGCCAAAUUUCGACUGGUUCCGCCAGUUUUUCCCUUUGUAGCUCAUCGGAGCUCAGUUUCGAUUGAUUUUCAGCUCAUUAUUUGAUCGAUUCCGUCUUAAAUCUCCAAGUAUCAUCGCCUCCUUUGAUUUCCAGGCAGGUUUGACCGGAAAACAUAAAUUGUUGACAGAUUUUUUUUGUUGAAAUCGCCCUUAUUUCAAAUCAAUCUUAAGAUUAGUUCGCGUAUGGGAAUGGUUUGUAUUGUUGCGAUUUUUCAUCUUGGGUUCUUCGAUAUUCAUUACUGGUUUGGGGCUUUAGGUUUCGGGUCGUCUUGACCCGUUCGUUUAGUUCAGUUUUGGGUUUCAAUUUCUCAAUACCGAGAUGGAUAAAUUCAUCUUUGAGUCUUAAGUCAAAGUUAUCGGAGGCGAGUUUCCUUUAUUUUGUCAAAUAACAUUCAUCAAAAUCGGUAUUAAGGUCCAUCCCUCAACUCUACUAUUCUUAUUAUUAUCUCAAAUGUGUUUAAAUAUUGUGAUUGUGUAGUGUGUUUGUGAGCUUGUUUGAGCCAUGUUGAUUAUCAUUGUCUUGAUUUUUAUCUCGAAAUUGAAUACUUGAGAAUUGGGUUAGUUGUGAGAUUGAUAUUAAAUAAGGGCAGAAUUAAGAAAUUGAUAAAAGUGGAAUGUAGACUAAUUUUGGUUCGUUGUCGAUUCGCUUUAUUUGGAAUAAGCAUGAAUAUUAUUGGAACAUGAUAGAGUGGUGAUGUGUUGAAAUGGAUACACAAUAUAGGUUCGGGUAGGCAAAUUUAGAACUUGUGUUUUGAUUGAAUGUUUAAAUGUGUGUUUUGAACGUUCUUCUAGUUAGCUUAUUUAAUUCAGAUGUAUUUGGCCGGGGAAUGCCCCGAGGUAUUUGUGUUCAUUUAUCGAGAAUGCUCCAAAGUAUUUUGUACCCGGAGGACAUUCGAGAUGAAUAUCCGAGGCGUCGGGUUUGAGCUUAGUCUAGCACUAGUAUAGAAUAGGAUUUAUAUUUUUGCAAUUUUUCUGUUUUGAACUGUAUAAGUGGACUGGACACUAUAUUUUGGAUUUGUUUUGCUUUGUU